AACCAUGUUUCCUCUGAACUUCUAAACCCUCCCACUGAAUACAAUUCUAACCACACAUACUGGACUGAAAUCAUGGGCCCUUGCAAUGGCAUAUACUUUCUAAAAGGCGAGCCAAAUGUCCUCAUGAACCCUUCUUUGAGACAGUUCAAGGCUUUGCCUGAAUCCAAUUUGUCCAGUGAUGACUAUUAUUCUCUCAAGAAUUAUGCUGGGUUUGGGUUUGACCCCAAAACCAAUGAUUACAAAGUCGUUGUGAUCAAGGACCUGUGGUUUGAGAAUGCAGAACGAAAAACUGGGAAUUGGACAGCAGAAUUAUACAUCCUCAAUUCCAACUCUUGGAGAAACCUUGAUGCAACUCUCCCACUUCCUUUCCAAAUGUGGAGCUCUUCUCAAGUUACUUAUGUGAACAAUUGUUGUCACUGGUGGGGUUUCGUUGAAGAGUGUGGUGUAAAAAAGGAUGUUAUUCUCACAUUUGACAUGGUCACCGAAGUCUUCAGAAAAAUCAGGGUACCCAGGAUUCGUGAUUCUUCAGAAGAAGUUGUCACAACGCUGGCACCCUUUGACAAAUCUGGUACAAUUGGUGUCAUUGUCCACCCUGUAGUUAGUGGAGAUGUGAAAUGCUUUGACGUAUGGGUGAUGAAAGAUCAUUCGGAUGAAGGUUCUUGGAUGAAGCAAUACUCGGUUCGACACACAGAAGUGAUUUAUAAGGUUUUGGGGUUUUAUGGAAGCCAUUGUUCUGUUUCGAACGACGACAAUGAAGGAUUAAAGCCUAGCUCACAACAAAUAAAGGAUCUUCAGGUUUAUGGAAAGUGUGAGGGGUUAAGAGCUAUAAAAUACAUGGAAAGCCUUGUUUCACUACACAGGGGAAAUGAGUUUAGUGGCCAGCUUGUUUCGUGUACCCCAGUUCCAGACCACCUACCAAAUCAGCAAAGGAAUUUCAUUGUUAGUUUGUCCCAGAUGAUGAAGACAUUCCUGAAAAUAUGAUGAUACAAUGGUUAUAUGAUUUUUUUUUUGCUUAAAUAUGUUUUUAAUCCUUGAGAAAUAUAAAUUGAUUCAUUGCAAUAACUCCUUGAAAAAACUUUAUUUGAAAUUGAUCUAAUUGAUGUCUCCUUACAUACGUGGCAUGAAUUUUACCUUCUCACCUCUCUACGUAUUAUUUCAUUAAUCCUUCAUGUUAUUUCUUAUCCUUCAUAUAAUUUCUUUUAUUAUCUGUCACCUUCAUUCCCCCCCCGUGGAGGGUGGUGAUGAUGAUGGCGGUGUUGGGUGGUUGUGGUGGUGGUGGUAGAGAUGAUGGUUGUGGCGGCAUUGGAGGAGGAUUGUCGUUGUGGUAGUAGUGAUGGUAGCGACAGUGGCAGUGGUGGGCGGUGGCAGAAGAGUGAUAGUGGUCAAUCCUGAAAAUGUGAUAAUACAACAGUUAUAUAUUUUGACUUAAAUAUAUUUGUAGUCCUGAAACUUAAAGAGAAAUAUAAAUUUAUUCAUUGCAAUAGGUCCCUAAAAUAAACUUAUUUUAAAUAGAUCAAAUUGAUGUCUCCUGAAUUACGUGGCAUAAAUUUUAGCGGUCACCUCGUUAAAUUCAUUUCACUAAUCCUACAUGUUAUUUUUUAUCCUACAUGUAAUUUACUUUAUUAUUUGUCCCCCUCUGCUUCUCCCUUCUUCCUCUCCUUCGUCCUCCUCCCCCCCACCACCAUACCCACUACCACACCACCCCCACCCUUCAUUCUCCUCUUCCUCUUGAUCGUCCUCCUCCUACACCUCCCUGCACCCACUCUUCUUCCCAAACACCAUAGCCACCAACCCACAUAUUACUUUCCCUUUCAAUCAUCUCCCCUUCCUCUUCCCCAAAUCGGCAUCAGUAACACCAUAGCCACCAAAUAUUAACCCAAUUCAAAAUCAUAACCCCAUUUUCCCAAUUUCUAAAAUGGGAAUAGGUGUUGAGAUUUUGUCUCGGUAGUUAUUUGAAUUUCAAAUUUAAGCUGUUAGUUUUAGCUUUUUAAUUAAUUUUCAAUAUGUCUUAUUAAGAAAGGGUAUUUGAAGUUUGUUAGGAUUUUAGUAGAUAAGAUAAUUUUUGUUUACUUAAUGUGACUCGGUAUCUAAAAUAUUUUAGUAUGUUCAUCAAUAAAAUAUUUAUCCUUUGCAACAAUUAAUUUUAUUUUCUUUCAUAUUCUUCUCUCCUGCUUCUUUCUUCUUCUCGUUAAACACAAAAAACCAGCAAGUGGUAUCUAGAGUCAUCUUCUUACGGACCUGUGAACAUGGAUGUUGAAUCAAAUUUCUCACAAGUUGCACCUCCAAUCUUUGUUGGAGAAAACUAAGAUCUAUAGGCUGUCGAAAUGGAUGUUUACGUGAUGAAGUCUAUGGAUUUUUGGGAAAUUAUAGAAGAGGAUUAUGAAGUCAUUCCGCUGCUGGUCAAUCCUACCGUGGCCCACAUCUGGAAUCAUAAGGGAAAAAACCCGAAAAGAAAAUGUGAAAUCAUGUCUUCUUGCUGGUCUUUCAUCAACCAUUUUCAUAAGGAUCAUGAGUCUCAAAUCAUAUACUGCAGAACUGAAAUCAUCAACCCAAUAGCUAGUAGGAACAUGCAAAUGGUACACCAUUGCAAGACCGAUCUCAAAAACAUGUUUAUGUUUUCGUUCAACCCGACCAUUCCGUGCCUGAGUAUGCGGGCAUGAAAUCCAAUGAAGCGCAUCAAAGGAAGCAAAUAAAGCCUGCACUUUGUUACCCCGUGAGUUCUGUGCCAUUGUCACUUUGAAAAAUUCUGAUAGACCGAGAAAAUUGAUUUUUCACAAAGGUUUUGAACUGAAGAAGCAUAUCAUAAAAAUCUGAUUUACUCCGUAAUGGAUAAAACUGAGUAAAACAGGAGAAAUCAUCCACGAAAAAUAACAAAGUAAGAAUAUCCAGCAAUAGUAGCAACGAGAAACGGUCGCUAUAAAUCACAAUGAACAAGAUUAAGAACGGCGAAAGCCUGUUUAUUAUUGUCAUGAAAAACCAAACGUUUAUUCUUAGUCAUCUAACAAGUAGUACAACAGAUUGAGUUCUUGCUCACAUCGGUCAUUGCCAGAACGACUCCUGACUUUCGGUUCUGAGGAACAAAAGAGUCAUCCAUAAAAACAGCUUUAGAACAAUUAUCACGAGUCCGGUCAGAAUUGAGUCUGACCAUAAUUGAUUGUAAACGUGAAUUAAAGUGACAUAAUUUAUGUUUGAAUACAGUUACAAAAAACAAAAACGUGAUUCUUGUAAGAGAAUUUUGUUUGGAUAUCUUUGAUUAGAAUUGUUUUAAGUUGUGUAUUGACCAAAAUAGACAUCACAUCAAUUUUAAAUUUUAAUGAUGGCAACGAGGUAGAAAAAAUCCGUACCCGCGUCUAAAAACCCGUCACAGAUAUAGCGACUUGCGGGUUCGGGUACUCGCGGGUUAAAAAAACUGAUAUUUUAGAUACUGUCUACAAACGGGGCGGGCGGGUAUCUGCGUCCCCGUACCCGCUGUUGUUAAAGGAAAAGAGCAGGUGUUCGCUUAGGUGAUUAUAUUCAGUGUUUUAAGACUUAGCUCGGACCGAGACUCGGUGACUUGAUCGGUCCGAGCCUCACUUCAGUUCGGUUGUGCAUGUCACUCGACUAGAACCGUUUCGAACCGGCCAGUUUAAUGAUCAAACCGGUGACUCAGCUGCUUUUUUUAUUGAACCGGGGAGUCACUUUUUUUUUUGUCAAUGUGAGUCCCCCUUUUCAUGUUUUUUAAUUUUUUUUUAAAUUUGUUGACGAUGGGUCAUACGUGGAAGCCCGUUUACCUUAUUAUUUAACAUAUUGGGUCAUUCAAAUUGUUUUUUUUUUAAUCUUGUAUGUAGUAAGAAAAAAACGUGAUAUUAUGCUUAAAAAUGCUCCUAGGAGGGUUUGAACUCAAGCCAUAGAGAAAAUAUGAAGGAAACAUAAUCACUGCACCAUCAUUAUGUUAUUGAUUAGAGACGCGUUUUAUUAAUUAUAUAUUAAUAUAUAUUGCAUUGGAUAUUUUUUUAUAUUUUUUUAAUAUACACCGAAUCAAGCAAUCGAACCAGUAACCCACUGAUCCGACCCGUCCGAGUCAAUGAUCAAGCCGAGUUUUAAACACUGAUUAUAUUCAUUAGACCAACGCUGCAACUCUAAUCUUUUCUAUUUGUAAAAUUCAAUUAUCGUGAUUUUUAUAUUCAUAACCCAAGAACAACAAACCUUCUGAUCAAUUCAAAUGUUUUCAAUUUCAUCACGGGUUGCUCUUUAUCGUGUUCCACUUUGGUGAUUUUCGAUGUAGUAGUUUUAACCUUCAGAUCUGAUUCUUGGGUUUUUUUUCUAAAUAAUGUAAAAAAAAAUUAGCAAAAAGGGUAGAAAAAAUUGUAUUUAGCAAAUUGAGACAGUUCUUGAUUAGAAAUGUCAAUGGGUAUGGGUGGGCAUGGAUAUUAUAUAUUCAUUAUCCGCUCUACAUGUAAAAAAUUAUACUUGUACCCGCUCUAUAUUCACAUAGAUAUCCAUUAAAUGGAUUUUAACUGGAUUUUCAAAUAUUAGUGGAUAUUCAUGGGCACCCGACACCCAUGAACAUAAAUAAAUUCACAUAUAUUUGUUCAAAAGAAAAUUAUAUUAAAAGUAAAAUUUAAUAUUGGACUUUACGAUCAAUCAAUGUGUGAAGGAUAAUACUUCUUUUCUACCGUUUUUUUGGUCUAAGGGCUUUUUUUCACCAUUACCAUUGUAUAAGUUUACUUAAAAGAGAACUAUAAUUCAAACACAAAUUCACUAGAUAUUAGACUUAAUAUAGGGUAUGAAUACAUCUUUAUCCGUACCCGCCCCAUUAAUAAAUGGAUAGUGGAAAUAUUCAUUAAAUAAAUCUGUGAAUACCCGUGACGCGGGUAGUUUUACCCAUAGUGGGUUUUUAUCCGCGUGUAUCCACGAGUGUGGAUAAUUUUGACAUUCUAUUCUUGACACAUAGGAUCUGAUGUGUAUGGGGUUCCUUGAAUUUACAAUAUUUUUUACGAAUUGCUGUCAAAUGACAACUUCCUGAUCAGAGGAGACCGUAAUGGUUAGUGGAAUUCCGAUAAUUUCCUCGAAAUGGCAAAAUUUAAAUAUUUCUUUGUGCUUGAGUUAAAACAAAAUAAAUUGUGGCCAAGUAGUAUUGACACUUACAAUCAACAUGUGGAGGUACCGUGUUCUACAUUAAUAAAUGGAUAGUGGAAAUAUCCAUUAAAUAAAUCUGUGAAUAUCCGUGGGCGCGGAUGAUUUUACCCAUAGUGAGUUUUUAUCCGCGUGUAUCCACGAGUGUGGAUAAUUUUGACAUCCUAUUUUUGACACAUAGGAUCUGAUGUGUAUGGGGUUCCUUAAAUUUACAAUAUUUUUUGUGAAUUGCUGUCACAUGACAACUUCCUGAUCAGGAGACUGUAAUGGUUAGUGGAAUUCCGAUAAUUUCCUUGAAAUGGAAAAAUUUAAAUAUUUCUUUGUGCUUGAGUUAAAACAAAAUAAAUUGUCCAUUCAAAAAAAAAACAAAAAAAAUUUGUGGCCAAGUAGUAUUGACACUUACUAUCAACCUGUGGAGGUACCGUGUUCAAUAUUUCUUUCUCCGUGAGUUAAAACAAAAUAAAAUUUAAUUAACAUAUUAUGAUCAAGAGAAAAAGGAUGAUGCACCGACAGUGUAAAGUUUUUUACACCGUCAACCAAUUAGAUUUUAAGGAUGUGCCACGUCAAUUAAUGAAAUUAAAUAAAAUGAGAGAUUUUCUCACAUUCUUAAAAUCUAAUUGGUUGCUGUCGGUGCAUAGAAAUUAAACUCUAUGAUCAAUAUAUACACAUGUUAUUGACCUUUCCAAAAUGUCCUACCAAACGCUACCUAUGUAACUAGUUAAUGUUCUUGAAUUGUUUCAAAAGAAAAAAGUUCUUGAAUUAGUCCACGACCUUUAAAAAAAAAAAAAUCCAUGACCUUAUCAUCAAACACCUCUAGAACCAUCUUCCACCAAUCAUCAGUAUGCCUAAUCAUCCAUCACGCAAUGAUUGACACCCCCUAUAGAUUAUAUGGAUAAAAUAACCAUUACAUAUACAACCCCAUUCGAUAGAGUACCCCAACUAAUUAGACCAACCAAUACACCAUGAUUUUCUAUUGCUUUCUUUCCUUUCUUUUAUUUUUGAUCAUCCCAAGCAAGAUUCAGAAAAUUCAGGCUUUCAAAUUGACAUUGUUCAGAGUUCAAAGACCAAGAAGAGAGAUCACAAGCAUAGAGCAGUUGCCACAAGAAUUGGUAUCAAAUAUACUCUCACGGUUGCAAGCUAAAGAGUUGGUGAAAUGCAAGUCCGUUUGCAAAUCCUGGUUCAAUCUCAUAUAUGAUCCCUAUUUUGCUGCCAGUUACUAUGCUUUCUACAACAAUCUCAAGCAACAAGAGGAGCCUCUCUUUGUCAUUCGAAGACCCUUUCAUUCAAGCCUCAAAACUUGCAUUUCAUUGCUUUCUUGUAAUGUCAAUCAUCCUAAAAAGCAUGUUUCCGUCCGUUUGCAAAUCCUGGUUCAAUCUCAUAUAUGAUCCCUAUUUUGCUGCCAGUUACUAUGCUUUCUACAACAAUCUCAAGCAACAAGAGGAGCCUCUCUUUGUCAUUCGAAGACCCUUUCAUUCAAGCCUCAAAACUUGCAUUUCAUUGCUUUCUUGUAAUGUCAAUCAUCCUAAAAAGCAUGUUUCCUCUGAACUUCUAAACCCUCCCUCUAAAUACAAUUGUAACCACACAUACUGGACUGAAAUCAUGGGCCCUUGCAAUGGCAUAUACUUUCUAAAAGGCGAACCAAAUGUCCUCAUGAACCCUNNNUCAUGAACCCUUCUUUGAGACAGUUUAAGGCUUUGCCUGAAUCCCAUUUGUCCAAUUCAGAUGACACUUAUUCUUUCAAGAAUUAUGCUGAGUUUGGGUUUGACCCGAAAACCAAUGACUACAAAGUCAUUGUGAUCAUGGACCUCUGG
rnacentral:lncRNA from 1 species